UACGUAGGGGGCAAGCGUUUGUCCGGGAUUUACUGGGCGUAAAGAGCGUGUAGGCGGCCAAGCAGGUCCGUUGUGAAAACUGGAGGCUUAACCUCCAGACGUCGACGGAAACCGCGUGGCUAGAGUCCGGAAGAGGAGAGUGGAAUUCCGUGGUGUAGCAGUGAAAUGGCGCAGAUAUCAGGAAGAACACCCGUGGCGAAGGCGGCUCUCUGGGACGGUACUGACGCUGAGACGCGAAAGCGUGGGGAGCGAACAGGAUUAAGA
rnacentral:rRNA from 1 species